UAACCAGAAGCUGAUCUCUGAGCAGGAAACAGGUUCAUCUUACAAACCUCAAGACCAAACAGUCUGUCUUUGGGAGUAUGAACACACCUAGGCACAAGAAAACACAUACAUAGUCUCACUUCGCUGCACUUUUACAGUUCGGAGAAGGCCUGUCUGCGCUGCCCAGCACAGCACCGAAUAAUAAACCAGCACAAGCGGCCGGACGCUCGUCACUCGAAUGAUGGUGAUCUUUGCGUGGUGAGGUUGGAGAAUGCAGCUUACACAACAUACCGAGGUCAUCCGGCCCGGCGACUUGGCCUCAUUCCUCCUGCUCCCCGACGCCGGGUCUUGCUUACCAGACCCCUCCUGGCACAGCCCUGGCCCAGGCCCCUGCUGUGUUCGGCCCCUCCCAGACCCGCACUCCGCCGCCGCCCCGGCCGAGCGCAGGUGCGGGGAGCCCGGCUGCGUACCCGGUUC